rnacentral:rRNA from 1 species
GAUAAACGCUGGCGGCGCACAUAAGACAUGCAAGUUGAACGGACUUAAUCGAAAUAUUUAUAUUUUGAAGCGGUUAGUGGCGGACUGGUGAGUAACGCGUAAGGAACCUGCCUAUUAGAGGGGAAUAACAGUGAGAAAUCAUUGCUAAUACCGCAUAUGCCAUAGAUAUCACAUGAUAACAGUGGGAAAGGAGCAAUCCGCUAAUAGAUGGCCUUGCGUCUGAUUAGAUAGUUGGUGGGGUAACGGCCUACCAAGUCGACGAUCAGUAGCCGGACUGAGAGGUUGAACGGCCACAUUGGGACUGAGAUACGGCCCAGACUCCUACGGGAGGCAGCGGUCGGGAAUAUUGCGCAAUGGAGGAAACUCUGACGCAGUGACGCCGCGUAUAGGAAGAAUGUUUGCGGAAUGUAAACUAUUGUCGUUAGGGAAGGGAAAGGACGGUACCUAAGGAGGAAGCUCCGGCUAACUACGUG